UACGAAGGUCCCAAGCGUUGUUCGGAAUCACUGGGCGUAAAGAGUGCGUAGGCGGCGCGGAAAGUCAGAUGUGAAAUCCCGGGGCUCAACCUCGGAACGGCAUCCGAUACUCCCGCGCUAGAGGACUGGAGAGGAGUCUGGAAUUCACGGUGUAGCAGUGAAAUGCGUAGAUAUCGUGAGGAACACUAGUGGCGAAGGCGAGACUCUGGACAGUUCCUGACGCUGAGGCACGAAGGCCAGGGGAGCGAAGGGGAUUAGAUACCCCCGUAGUCCUGGCAGUAAACGGUGCUCGCUUGGUAUGCGCGGUUUCGACCCCGUGCGUGCCGGAGCUAACGCGUUAAGCGAGCCGCCUGGGAAGUACGGUCGCAAGAUUA
rnacentral:rRNA from 1 species